UUGGUUGCUAGGGAAGGCGUCGCAGGUGGGAUGCAACUACGUUUGAUAGUAAGUUUUAUUUUUAAUGUAUUUAAUUGGUUAAAUUUAUACUUGUGUAAAGGACGAUAUAUUAAGGUUAUUUAUUUGUACUGAUUUAUUUUAAAAGGAAAUACUUAAAUGGUACAAGGAGCACUAGUGAACAAGCAUAGGUUAAUGGUCAUUAACUCUCACAUUGACAAGUUACCUUAAAGAAUACUUAAAAAUUUUGGCUCGAUGAUUUUAUUUAAAUUAAUGAAAUACGAUUAAGUUUUGUCCAGUUCAUAGUGGCGGUGUUCAUAGUGACGGUGUUCAUAGUGACGGUGUUCAUAGUGGCGGUGUUCAUAGUGGCGGUGUUCAUACCCACGUGACUGUCUUGGUCUUGUAUGUUACAGGAUUUACCUUAAAAGUAUUUGUUACUCGUAAGAUUUACGGUAACACUGGAACUUUGGCUGUCCAUAGGUUCCCGCCAUGUUCACCCGAGGUCUUAGUCACUUGGUUAGGGUAGGUAGGUGGGUGGGUUGGAUCCUUUGGUUUGUGUAUUUUUGGCGUUUUACUCAAAUUUGACUUAAUUUUUUGUGCAAAUCGGCAGUUUGUUAAAAAUUAAUGUUCAUUUUUUGCAGAAACCGAUAAUUUGCUAAUGAAAUAAAGGUCAGAUUUGAGUAAAAACUGAAUAAGUAAAAAAAAAAAAAAAAUUCUCUUACCAAAACCUGAGGACAGCCAAUGUACUGAUAUUAGUUAUCUUUUCUUUACAGAUGAUGGAUCCAGUUGUUGUUGUAUUAAAGGCCAGUUUGGUGCAUCAGUGGUCGUCAGCGUGGAUAGUACAGCACCUUAUUUAUUGAGGAUGAUGACCACAAGAGUUCUUCUGGUAACCUGACUCAUGAUGCACCAGAGACACAAGUCAGGUUAGUAGGUUCUGGACCUUGUCAAGGAGAGGUGUGCACUCUGCUGUACCACACCUCUUGCCUCACUUGUACUGCUGUACCAGGCUUCUCUCCUCCAAUAUCAGGAUGGCAAGUGAUUCACAACAUAACUAAAGGAAGCAGGUGAUACAGCCCAGACCCAGCCAUCCACCCCUCCUCUCUACCUCAGAAAUGUUGUUCUGAACACUGGAGUGCCGUGCUGCCCUAGACUGUGCUUACUGGCUACUGCCUUGGACUUCCCUGUACUUGCUUGCUGGCUGCUGCCCUG